rnacentral:rRNA from 1 species
AUUGAACGCUGGCGGCAGGCUUAACACAUGCAAGUCGAGCGGAGAUGAGGUGCUUGCACCUUAUCUUAGCGGCGGACGGGUGAGUAAUGCUUAGGAAUCUGCCUAUUAGUGGGGGACAACAUUCCGAAAGGAAUGCUAAUACCGCAUACGCCCUACGGGGGAAAGCAGGGGAUCUUCGGACCUUGCGCUAAUAGAUGAGCCUAAGUCGGAUUAGCUAGUUGGUGGGGUAAAGGCCUACCAAGGCGACGAUCUGUAGCGGGUCUGAGAGGAUGAUCCGCCACACUGGGACGGAGACACGGCCCAGACGCCUACGGGAGGCAGCAGUGGGGAAUAUUGGACAGUGGGCGGAAGCCUGAUCCAGCCAUGCCGCGUGUGUGAAGAAGGCCUUUUGGUUGUAAAGCACUUUAAGCGAGGAGGAGGCUACCUGGAUUAAUACUCUAGGAUAGUGGACGUUACUCGCAGAAUAAGCACCGGCUAACUCUGUGCCAGCAGCCGCAGUAAUAC